AGUGAACGCUGGCGGUAGGCCUAACACAUGCAAGUCGAACGGCAGCACAGUAAGAGCUUGCUCUUACGGGUGGCGAGUGGCGGACGGGUGAGGAAUACAUCGGAAUCUACUUUUUCGUGGGGGAUAACGUGGGGAAACUUACGCUAAUACCGCAUACGACCUACGGGUGAAAGCAGGGGAUCUUCGGACCUUGCGCGAUUGAAUGAGCCGAUGUCGGAUUAGCUAGUUGGCGGGGUAAAGGCCCACUAAGGCGACGAUCCGUAGCUGGUCUGAGAGGAUGAUCAGCCACACUGGAACUGAGACACGGUCCAGACUCCUACGGGAGGCAGCAGUGGGGAAUAUUGGACAAAGGGCGCAAGCCUGAUCCAGCCAUACCGCGUGGGUGAAGAAGGCCUUCGGGUUGUAAAGCCCUUUUGUUGGGAAAGAAAAGCAGCAGGUUAAUACCCCGCUGUUCUGACGGUACCCAAAGAAUAAGCACCGGCUAACUUCGUG
rnacentral:rRNA from 1 species